GAACGCGAACGGCUCCUUCGGGAGCCUAGUAGAGUGGCAAACGGGUGAGUAACGCGUGGGUAACGUACCCUGAUCCUGGGAAUAACCCUCGGAAACGAGGGCUAAUACCGAAUGUGGCGAACGACCGGUUGGUCGCUCGCUAAAGGUGGCCUCUUCUAUGCUGCCGGGUUGGGAUCGGCCCGCGUCCCAUUAGCUAGUUGGUGAGGUAACGGCUCACCAAGGCCACGAUGGGUAGCCGGCCUGAGAGGGUGUACGGCCACACUGGCACUGAGACAAGGGCCAGUCCCCUAUGGGAGGCGCAGGCGGGAAUAGUUCACAAUGGGCGAAAGCCUGAUGACGCGACGCCGCGUGAGCGAAGAAGACCUUCGGGUUGUAAAGCUCUGUCAGGAGGGAAGAAGGCUCUACGGGUCAAUAGCCCGUGGGAUUGACGGUACCUCCAGAGGAAGCCCCGGCUAAAUACGUGCCAGCAGCCGCGGUAAUACGUAUGGGGCAAGCGUUGUCCGGAUUUACUGGGCGUAAAGGGCGCGUAGGCGGUUUGUUAAGUCGAAGGUGAAAUCCUCGGGCUCAACUCGAGAAUUGCCUUCGAUACUGGCAAACUAGAGUGGCGGAGAGGAAAGCGGAACUCUUGGUGUAACGGUGGAAUGUGUAGAUAUCAAGAGGAACACCGGUGGCGAAGGCGGGUUUCUGGACGCACACUGACGCUCAGGCGCGAAA
rnacentral:rRNA from 1 species